rnacentral:rRNA from 1 species
CCCUUAGACGUUCUGGGCCGCACGCGCGCUACACUGACGAAGGCAACGAGCUUUCCUUUACCGAAAGGUACGGGUAAUCUUUUGAAACUUCGUCGUGCUGGGGAUAGAUCCUUGCAAUUUUUGAUCUUAAACGAGGAAUUCCUAGUAAGCGCGAGUCAUCAGCUCGCGCUGAUUACGUCCCUGCCCUUUGUACACACCGCCCGUCGCUACUACCGAUUGGAUGGUUUAGCGAGAGCCUUGGAUUGGAGCCCAGGUGGUCGGCAACGGCCGCUCGGGAUGCCGAGAAAUUGCUCCAGCUGACCCAUCUAGAGGAAGUAAAAGUCGUAACA